rnacentral:rRNA from 1 species
UACGUAGGGUGCAAGCGUUGUCCGGAAUUAUUGGGCGUAAAGGGCUCGUAGGCGGUCCAUCGCGUCGGGAGUGAAAACCCAGGGCUUAACCCUGGGCUGGCUUCCGAUACGGGCAGACUAGAGUGAUGUAGGGGAGACUGGAAUUCCUGGUGUAGCGGUGAAAUGCGCAGAUAUCAGGAGGAACACCGAUGGCGAAGGCAGGUCUCUGGUCGACAUCUGACGCUGAGACGCGAAAGCGUGGGGAGCGAACGGG